rnacentral:lncRNA from 1 species
AGGCAGUAAUUUCAGUUAGCAUUGUUGCUGAACUAUUAUUCUGGAGUAGAGCAUAUGAAUCAUUAAAGUGAUUUGCGCUUUCCUGUUAUUUAGUAAGUACAUUCUCUUGAUCUUGCCAAAUUUGAAUCUGAAAACUUCAUUUCUCCAUGAUUCCAUUUAAGCUGCAUGUACCUUUUCCAGAUUUUUCUUAUGUUAAUCCUGUUUCUUUUUUGUUCUUGGACUCUUCUUGUGUCCUCUUUCUUGAUGGUAUUUGCGAAAGUGGUUGUUUGCAUAAGUUUUACCAAGACCAACUAACCCUUCAUAACAUAGUAGGGGACUAUUUCAGCACCUGAGGUCAGCCUCCUCAUGACAAUAUAUUUAACAUUGUUAAGAGUCAGAGAUGAUCCAGCUGAUUCUAUCUGGUUAAAUGGAUUGUCUACCUUUCUCACAAUCCUCUUUCAGUUGCUAUAGCCUGUUCAGUCUGUUUGCUGGCUAGGCAUGUCUUCAUCUCCCUUCUUCCCUUCAUGGGCUCUUAGAAGUCAAACAACAAACAGCAUCCUUCAUACACAAGAUGAGUGGGUGUGGAAAGAAUACUGUGUAACCAAGUAGUAUUACGGAAACUAGAAUGUUCAGGACUUACCAAAAAGAUGGCAAAAACCUUAUCUUCCAAGUGUCCUUCUGGACUUUUCCAGUCUCGGCUCUCCCCAGGUCCCACAUUGUUGCAUCUACAUAGGUUUCACCGUACAGACAUAACCUGUCUUUGCUUAUGCUAGUCCCUGCCUGGGGUCCCUGCUCACUUCACUUGCUGAAAACUUUCUCAAUUCAUUCAGCAGACGUUUAUUGAGCAUUUAAUGUGUAGAGUUUCAGCUAGUCUUUGAGGAUACAAAAGUAAGGCAAAGUCCUUCUUGCUUUGCCAGAAACUCUGCCUUAAUAAGGCAAUAUGCAUAAACAAAUUUUUCAGUAUAGGAUCAUAAGUAUAAUAAUAGAUGCAUAGAAAGCCCCCCAAAGGGGUUUUCUUUUCUUUUUUGUCAAACUUGGGGUUAAACCCAAGGUACUGAGCUACAUCCCCAGACCAUUUUAUUUUUUAUUUUGAGACAGGGUCUCACUCAGUUGCCCAGGUUGGUCUUGAACUUGUGAUUCUCUUGCCUCAGCCUCCCGAGUACCUGGGAAUACAGGUAUACACACCUGCCCCCUGCUUGUUUCUUAUUCUUGAUUAAGCUUUCAAAUUUAUAUAGUGCUACUUCCUCCGGACUGCCCUGUACUUUGUUCAUAUUCCUCUUUAACAUUGUCCUCAGAGUGGUUGCUUUCUGUUUGUCCCUCUCUCCCACCCCAGGGAAGGCCAGUUCCUUGAAGGUAUCAAGACA